ACUGAAAUAGCUCAGUCGGUUAGAGCGUGGUGCUGAUAACACCAAGGUCGCAGGUUUGAUCCCCGUUCGGUC
rnacentral:tRNA from 1 species